AGCAGCCGCGGUAAUUCCAGCUCCAAUAGCGUAUAUUAAAGUUGUUGCAGUUAAAAAGCUCGUAGUUGAAUUUCGGGGUCUGUCCGUCGGUCGGGCUUCACGGUCCGUACUGGUGUGAUGGGUUCCUACCUUCUGAAUAACCGGCAUGCCAUUCAGUUGGUGCGCCGGGGAAGCAGAGCUAUUACCUUGAAAAAAUUAGAGUGCUUAAAGCAGGCUAGUGCUUGAAUAGAUUAGCAUGGAAUAAUAAAAUAGGACGGCAUGGUUCUAUUUUGUUGGUUUCUAGGAUCACCGUAAUGAUUAAUAGGGAUAGUUGGGGGCAUUAGUAUUCAAUUGUCAGAGGUGAAAUUCUUGGAUUUAUUGAAGACUAACUUCUGCGAAAGCAUUUGCCAAGGAUGUUUUCAUUAAUCAAGAACGAAAGUUAGGGGAUCGAAGACGAUCAGAUACCGUCGUAGUCUUAACCAU
rnacentral:misc_RNA from 1 species